AUUGAACGCUGGCGGCAUGCUUUACACAUGCAAGUCGAACGGCAGCACGAAAGAGCUUGCUCUUUUGGUGGCGAGUGGCGAACGGGUGAGUAAUGCAUCGGAACGUACCGAGUAAUGGGGGAUAACUGUCCGAAAGGAUAGCUAAUACCGCAUACGCUUUGAGAAGGAAAGUGGGGGCUCUUCGGACCUCACGUUAUUCGAGCGGCCGAUGUCUGAUUAGCUAGUUGGUGGGGUAAAGGCCUACCAAGGCGACGAUCAGUAGCGGGUCUGAGAGGAUGAUCCGCCACACUGGGACUGAGACACGGCCCAGACUCCUACGGGAGGCAGCAGUGGGGAAUUUUGGACAAUGGGCGCAAGCCUGAUCCAGCCAUGCCGCGUGUCUGAAGAAGGCCUUCGGGUUGUAAAGGACUUUUGUUAGGGAAGAAAAGGAUAGUGUUAAUACCAUUAUCUGCCGACGGUACCUAAAGAAUAAGCACCGGCUAACUACGUG
rnacentral:rRNA from 1 species